AAAAAAAAACGACGACAAGAGAUGUACAUAACGUAACUAGAUAAAGCCAAAAUCUGUGUAAAUCUUCUCAUGUAAACUGCAUAAUAGCACUUCAAAUGGCCCCUUUCUGUCAUCCACUGUAACCAUCACAUUCCCAUUUCUGCUGCAGUCAGGUGAACUGUCAAAGAGCUAUUACGGUUGGCUGCAUAGAAUUCCGAGGAAAGACAAAUCUUUGCAAUUUUCUCCUUGGACAAUAAAUGGUUCUUUUGGUGCCUUUAGGUUUUCCUCAACAAUUUUGGUAAAGAAAAAAAUGAGUUUUUAAUUUUUUUUUCUCAUUUUUUACAUGCACACAAUAAUGUACGGGGCUUUAUUUGGGCUGAAACCUUUACUAUGAAUGUGUAGCUCUUUGAUGGAUGCACAUUAGCAUUCCAGUAUGAGGGUUUACAGAUUGUACCUAAGUCUUUAGAAGAAUGUCUAGGAGCAGUGAGGACCAGGAGGACUGCUUUUGCUGAACCAAGGAAUGACUGACCAAGGAAGAUGAAGAUUUUGAGGUGUCCUGGUACUGCCUGUUGAAUUGCAAGCUGAACAGACCCAGGUCACCCAACCUUUCCUCACAAGAGAGGUUCUCCAGGCACCUUCAUGCUUGUGGCCCUCCGAUGGACUCUUUCCAGGAUAUCUUCAAAGUAAGAAGAGAAUACAGCUCCUGACUGCCUUCAGUAAUGAUACGUGGACAACUUGGUAGGAGUCUGCCCUGGCCCUGAUUGAGUGCCCCGGAGCUGUCCACGGGAAAGUGCUGGAAAAGGAAGAAACAGAUGGUCCAGGCCAGAACGUGACAUGAUCCUAAAGAUGUCUCUAUCUUUGCUGGGGGAAGAAAUGAAGCCGUUACUCCCAGCAGGGAAAAGAGGAAACAAGAAGAUAUUUAAAGGAUAUGGAGGGGGAUUUUGAGAACUGCUAAGGUUCUUAGGACAUACAUUUUCAGAACACAUAAUAUAAGCACAAGAGACUGCCAAUAGUACCAAGAUCAGUCACAUGGAAUGAGCUGUCAUUCUUAUUCUCUUUGUACCAUAAGUUCAGAACAAAUAAAUAAAUAAAUAAAAA
ensembl:lncRNA